GCGUCUCAAAAAAAAAAAAAAAAUCCCCAACUCACUGCUUUUUUUGUUUGUUUCUGUCGCCUAGGCUGGAGUGCAGUGGCACGAUCUCAGCUCACCACAGCCUCGACCUCCCAGGCUCAAGUGAUCCUCCCACCUCAGCCUACCAAGUGGCUGGGACUACAGGCGUGUGCCACCAUGCCUGGGUAAUUUUUGUAUUUUUGUAGAGAUAGGGUUUUGCUAUGUUGCCCAGGCUGGUCUCAAACUCCUGGGCUCAAGUGAUCUGCCUGCCUCAACCUCUCAAAGUGCUCAACUCAUUGUUUACUGUCUUUUUUCCUAGUAAUCUUAAAAUAAUUUGCCUCACAGAAAUAGAGACAGUAAGUGUCUGCAGCCAGUUCACUGUUUUUGGUAAUUCAUUGGUCUUCAGGAGUUAAGAUUUUACAUUGUCACAUUUUAAUUUUUAAGCCUAUUUUUCAUCUCUGAAACUUUCCUUUUCUGCUUGGUUCUGGCUAUACUUGGACUCAAACUGAUCAGUGUGAUCAUGUCCAAAACAGCUUGGCCUGGAAGAGGUAGGCCUUAUUUUUUCAGCCUAGUAGUGUCCCAUGCACAUGCUCUUUGUAGCAUUCAAGUGUUUAACAUUGGAUAAAUUAAGAAGGUCAAGAAUGUUGUUGAAACUUCAAGGUCUCAAAAGGAAAUGAUGGGGACAUAGAACAACUGUUGGUGUACCAAAAAAAGGUACAGAGGGGCACCGUUUGUAUUGUCACACAACAAUGAUCAGAAUGAUCAGUUUAGAAUGAUCAGAACAAAAACACCACUCUUUAAUGGGUCUUUUUCUUGGCUAGAAGUCUUUCCUCAGUUUUUGUUGACUGUCAUACGCUGAUUUGUGGGUGACGGAAGGGGGCUAGAGAUAAUGUUUCUCUGUACUUUGGUAGAGGAUGAAGGAGUCAGAGAGGGAACAGAAAAAGUGAGAGAGUGGCCUGCUGAAAUAAUAGCCUGCCUCUAAAAGUUGUGACCAGAAAGUAUGAUUCAUUUGGGCCCAGAGGGAAUAAAAUAUGUUUUUUCAUAUACCUCCCAUAUUACACCUCUGUAGUGAUUGUUUAUUUGGGGAAUGAGAUCUACUUACUGUGCGUUGCCCCUGAAAUGUAGCUUGAGAAUACACACUGGUUUUGAAUUGGGGAGGAGGAUGGAAGGAAAUUAGAGGUGUAUUAUGAAUAUUUGGCCACUACUUAGAUGGAGGAAGGCUAUGUUGAACUUGGGACACAUUGCAGUUUUCAAGUACACAAUAUCAGUUGUCUCAGAAAAAUCAUGACAGCCUGGACAUAUUUGCUUGUCAGUGUCUGGAGAUGCCAGGACAGGCAGUUGUAGUUUUACGUACAGAUAGAGAACCAAUGCCUAGAGAACUAGAAAGGAUCUGAGUAGCUUUAAAAAGGGUGGAAACAAAGUACUGGAUAGGGGUCUGCCUUUUUAUACACAGUAUAGCAAACAGCAUCAGACAAAGUUACAUGAAGUUUUCUUCACUUUUUUUGCUCUGAUGGAUAGAGGAUGUGAGACUCAUUUUACUGUUUCCCAGACCUGUCCCACUUAAUGGAUCUGUUGUGUUUCUUCUUAAAAUGGCAGGCACCUCAGAUGUUCAGGUUAAUUUAUGUUGAGGAGUUAGGAUUCUUCAGGGAUUUAUUAUUAUUAUUAUUAUUUAUUUAUUUAUUUAUUUAUUUUUUGAGAUGGAGGCUUGCUCUGUCGCCUAGGCUGGAGUGCAGUGGCGCAAUCUCAGCUCACUGCAACCUCCACCUCCUGGGUUCCAGCGAUUCUUCUGCCUUAGCCUCCCAAGCAGCUGGGAUUACAGGCACCUGCCACCAUGCCCAGCUAAUUUUUUAUAUGUUUAGUAGAGACAAGGUUUUACCUUGUUGGCCAGGCUGGUCUUGAACUCUAGACCUCAGGUGAUCUGCCAGUCGUGGCCUCCCAAAGUGCUGGGAUUACAGACGGGAGCCACCAUGCCCAGCCUGAGAUUUAUUAUAAGGAAUUGGUUCACACAAUAAUGGAGUUUGAGAAAUCCCAAGAUCUGCAGUGGGCCAGCUAGAGAUCCAGGAGAGCUGAUGGUGUAGUUCCAGUCUGAAGGCCAGCUUGGAUACCCUAGAAGAGCUGAUGUUUCUGUUCCAGUUCAGAGGCAGGAAAAGACUGAGGUCUUAGUUCAAGCAGUCAGGCAGGACUUCUCCCUUACUUGUUCUAUUCAGACCUUCAACUGAUUGGAUGAGGGCCACUUACAUUAGGGAGGGCCAUGUGCUGUAUUCAGUCUACUGACUGAAAUGUUAGUCUCUUCCAAAAACACCCUCACAGACACACCCAGAAUACUGUAUGACCAAAUAUCUGGGCAUCAUGUGGCCUAGUCAAGUUGACACAUAAGAUUAACCAUCACAACGAGGAAAAACAGAAAUGAUACAUGUAUACAGAGUGCUCCUCAUCCCAAUUAAGUUUCACCAAGUUAAUAAUGUCUCUCUAUGAGAAGUGGUUCACCAUGUUGGUCAGGCUGGUUUCAAACUCCUGACCUCAGGUGACCACCCGCCUCGGCCUCCCAAAGUGCUGGGAUUACAGAUGUGAGCUAGCACUCCCAGCCGACAGGUGCUUCUUAAAUGUUUUCUUUGAGCAGGAAUUGGUUCUCAAGUUAGAAGGAAAAUUUGAGGGGAAGAACUUGUUUUUUCUCCAAUCAGUCUCUGAUUAAAUAGUUAUUAGGAAAAACUCCUUGCUUAUGUCUUUGUAUUGCACAUUUUUAUAUAUGUAUAUAUGUGUAAAUAGAGAUAUUUAUAUAUUCACAGACAAACACGUGUAUGCACAUUUCACAAUGGAGGAAGAAGGGAUAUGGUGUGCACUGAGGUAAAGUGAGCAGGGAUACAGAAGAGAGCUGGAGCCUCACAGUCUGAUUCUCUCAUUGUACAUAACCUUUAGGGUCUUUGUUUCCCUGAGUUCUCUGGUAUGGGGCACUGUUGGCUUGGGCUAGUACCCUGUUAUUCUCUGUGAUGAAGGGAUUCACUGGAGGUAAAAACCUAAUCAUUUCCAAAGGUUGAGAAUAAAUGACUUUGAGGAAAGGGUGUUCAUUAUCCGUUGCUUCUAUAUUAUAAUCAGUUGAACUACAAUACGGUUAUCUAUUGAUUUUUUUAAAUUUUUCUGACAAAUUAUUGACACUAAAUUGAAUAAUUCAUGACCUGCAUGCUUCAGCUUCUUUCUCCCUGGUUUCCAGGUGCUAUUCCCUCAAGAAAUGCAAAUUAAAUAUGUCGGUCUUAAUAAAUCAGGAGGGAAGCAUAGUCUGUGUCUGUUUUAAAUGACAACAACAACAAAACAGCUUUGGGGUUUAAGAAGUGGAAGACACAUUUUUAUUUUUUUGAGACACAAUCUCACUCUUUCGCCCAGGCUGGAGUGCAGUGGCGUGAUCUCAGGUCACUGCAACCUCCCCCUCCUGGGUUCAAGCGAUUCUCUUGCCUCAGCCUCCCAAGUAGCUGGGAUUACAGGCAUGUGCCACCAUGCCCAGCUAAUUUUUGUAUUUUUAGUAGAGAUGGGGUUUUGCCAUGUUGCCCAGGCUGGUCUCGAACUCCUGACGUCAAGUGAUCACCGACCUCGGCAUCCCAAAGUGCUGGGAUUACAGGCAUUAGCCACCACGCCCAGGUGAGAAGACAGAUUUUAAGAGAAGGAGCAGGGCUGGUAUCUGAAUAGGUAUUUGGAUGUUAGGGGAAAACCCUUUUUGGCCUCUGUGGUAGAGCGAUCGGAAGGUAAAAGUGCUGUUUACAAGAAUAAUCCAUUGGAGAUCUGGGGAUUGGGGACGACUUAUAGGAUAGAGUGCUCUUGUUGAGAAUUUCCCGAAUGAAUCUCAUGUAGGUUCUGUCACAGUAAGAUGGAGGAAAACUUUGAUGGGGUAAGUAUCACAAGUGGCUGUCCUAUAGGGGGAAAUCCUAGCCUGCAGUAAUGUCAGUGUCUCAGUAUUCAGCCGGCGAGCCACUGAGCUGCUCCAGGGGUUUAAAAUAGAAUGCAUAGAAUACAAUGUGUACAGCUGGUGAUGCUUUCCAGGAUCAAAAUAGAGCCCUUGUCUGAUCCCAUUGACAUUGUAAGGUUUCGAUCUCUCAUACCUGCCACAGACAAGUACAUUGUAGGCAUUCAACUUUUAAGGUUUUAUACAUGCAAACUUUAUGUUUUCCUGCCACACUACACUUGGUGUCCACAGAAGUGUAGUUUGUAUGUUGCCUCUUCUUCCUCUUUCAACCAGAACACUUAGAUCUGUGAUCAUAGGAUGUAAGCCUGUGAUUCUUUACUUUUUCUAAUAAGAAAUACAAUUUUCAAGAUCCAAAAAUUAUUAGAUUCUUGGCUGGGCAUUGUGGCUCAUGCCUGUAAUCUCAGCAUUUUGGAAGGCUGAGGCAGGCAGAUCACUUGAGGUCAGGAGUUUGAGACCAGCCUGGGCAGCACAAUAAAACGCCAUGUCUACUAAAAAUACAAAAAUUAGCCAGGUGUGGUGGCAUGCACCUGUAGUCCCAGCUACUUGGGAGGCUGAGGAGGGAGAAUCGUUUGAACCAAGGAGGCAGAGGUUGUAGUGAGCCAAGAUUGUGCCACUGCACUCCAGGGCAACAGAGAGAGACCCUGUCUCAAAACAAAAACCCCCAAAUUAUUAGAUUCCCUUCCAACAACUUGAUAGCCAUAUUAUUAGUAUUUCUGAUUAAAGAAUACAUAACAAAAAGCCGCUAUGAUUUCAGUAAUGCUUUUAAGUUAAUUUAUUAGUCACACCAGAAUCUACAUCCAAUUGAAAUAUAGUAUAUACAAAUAUUUGAAAGAUAUUUAUUCAGGCUGAAGAUUAUGGUAUAUAGAUUCCUUCUGAUAACCUCAUGGCCUCACAGGUUCAAAACCCAUGUUUGUGAAUCACUCAUACAGAUUGGGGCUAAGAUGCAUGUCCAGAAAACUACCUAUUAUGCAUGAAAAUUUGUAGGCUUAUUUGAAGGCAAUUGUAUCAACACAUUUUGAAAGCCAAGACACAAGUAUUUUAAGUUUCUGUUUAACCAAGUCUCGAGAUAAGCAGAGUAAAUAAACUCUUUAGAAGCAAGACUCAGUUGGUAUGUACAAAGUGGGAUUGCUUUGUAUAUAUUCCUCUUAGUUUGAGUCAGAGUUAGUAAUCUGAUGCUCUUAAAUGUCUUCAUAAACUUGGGCAGUGAUGUUUCCUUUCUGUGAUUAUGUGUCACAGAUUUUUAUAUGUGGACUAUAAUUAGUACAAUGGCUGAAACCUUUCCUAUAGUUGGAUAUAUCUUCUGAGACUUCCAGUGAUUGUAUAAUGUUGAGUAGCUCCAGAAGAUUAUUUGAAUAGUAAAAACAAAAGACAUCUCUACCUAUGUGAGUUUAUUAUUUAGUUAGAAACACAGAACUAACUAUUUAAAACAGAGAAAGAUUAAGAUGAAUGUGAUGUAGUGGAGAAAGCUUUGGAGACUUUGGAGUCAGAAUUCAAAUGGCUCUAGGUCCCAAAUCCAGACUCUCAUUUUGAUUCUCAGAACAAUUCUGUGGAAAGAGAAGAUACAAUAGGCAAUAUCCCUUUUUACAGAUAGGUUAACAGAAAUAGCAUCUCAAAACCUCAUUUGCACUGGGUGAGCCACCGCACCAGGCCCUAUUUAACUUCC
rnacentral:lncRNA from 1 species